CUACUCUUUGUCGAAAGGCUAUAAUUGACGGCAUACACAGACAGACGCCAUACAGAAUAUGUUUUGUUUGUUUUGUUCUUUACUACCUUAUGCACAUUAGUAGGCUUUUCAAAAUAUUCGUUCAAAUAAUUAUUCUCCGACAAUUGCAUGGAAACCCCACAUAACUUCUAUUGAUUAAUAAUAACAAAAAUGUCACUAGGACUUACCUGCGCAGCCAUAAAUGAGAGAUCCAUUGUGAUACGCGUGUGAGGACACCUUUGUCUAUCUUGAAACAGUGUCGAGUCGCCCUUGUAUUCCCCAGAAGGACAUUAGAACGUUCUUCCCAUCAAAAUUGCAUUUUCAGAUCCAGACAACGUUUAUAGCGUAUGAAAGUGCAGCCGGCUAGGCGACUAUGGAAUUUGAACAGACGAAAGCAUUUACAGAGCGAGGGAAAGAGCGCAACAGCCGAGAGAGAAAGAGAGAGAGAGCCUUUAUUAUCAACAGAACCACAAGAUCCUGAUGUCGUCGCACCUUUCGCCCCCUUUUUGAAUAGCCUACAGUGACAUGAACCCUAACUGCUAAUCACGCAGUGUUUUCCUAGUGAUGACGGAGUCUAACAGAAAGUCCAGACUGUCACGGCAGUCAGAUGAAUCCAGUGCAGUCUAACUGUAUGAGCGAUGACCCCCAAGGCUCAUCAGACUGCCAUCCGAUAAGGAGGUGGACAGGGUGCGUCCCACUCACUUCACUUCACGGCCUCAUUAACUCUACCGUGCAUGAUGUCACAUCUUUUUUAACCGUCCUGCAUAAUCACUCCAGGAACCACUCGACACAACUCGUUAUGACAAAUAUUUUACACAUUAACCCACCUACGGCAUACUAAACAGCCACAAAAGAGCAUAAAAACGUAUUGUCAGACCAUAUAAAAUGAACCUAUUGAUUGACAGAUACCAGCUUUGACUUAAUGUUGUGAAACAUGGAGCUGGUGGGCAGAGUAGCAACUCAGUUUUUUUUCUGUCAGCUGAUCACUGAGAUGAGGGGAAGUAGACAAGGGAUGUGUCUGAGACAACUGCAAGAGCUGGCAAGGCAUUCUAGAUCAGGGACAUUCAAGCACCUUACAAUAU
rnacentral:lncRNA from 1 species